GGGUGCAAUCAUACCAACUUAAUGCAUAGGAUCCCAUCAAAACUCCGCAGUUAAGCACACUUGGGAUAGAGUAGUACUGGGAUGGGUGACCUCCCGGAAGUCCUAGUGUUGCACUUU
rnacentral:rRNA from 1 species